UAAGCUUAACUGAUUCUGAACAAAAAGAAAGAUUAGCAGUUGGCACACGAAGUAAUAAGCGUUGUCGAUCACGCACAUUUCAAACCAACGCAACGGCCGACAACCCGCCGGUUUACUUUAUUGAGUAGCUUGCAACUCCCACGACACUUCACAUCCACAUGUUAUAAUAAUUAAAUAUCCUUUGUGUCUCAUUUAGUGGAUGGACACUAAGAUGAUUUAAAAAUUGGCAAGCAAAUAACAUGUGUAUCAACCAAGUAAACAAGUACAUACAUAGGUAUCACACAGGUACCAAAUUAUUUUUCAAAAAUCUUCGUGUGGGCGAUCUUCGUGGAGUCUGUGAAUUUUUCUUUUACGUACAAGUGGGUUCGUAGGGUUACAUAGGUUAUUAACAACAAACAAUUAUUAAAAUUUUGAGGUUUAUGGUUAAACUUAUUAAUGUGACCUACCUAACCGAACCUACAACAUAAAUAAAUUUAUGUAUAUACCUAUAUUUAUGUAUGUAUAGGUAUAAGUCAGUUGGUGUUGGUAACAUCAUUACAUUACUACUACCAAAUUUAAUGUGUGCAAAAUAUCUUUAUGCUCUGAUUAUUAUGUUAGUGCCAAAUAAACAAUA